GACGAACGCUGGCGGCGUGCUUAACACAUGCAAGUCGAACGGAAAGGCCCUGCUUUUGUGGGGUGCUCGAGUGGCGAACGGGUGAGUAACACGUGAGUAACCUGCCCUUGACUUUGGGAUAACUUCAGGAAACUGGGGCUAAUACCGGAUAGGAGCUCCUGCUGCAUGGUGGGGGUUGGAAAGUUUCGGCGGUUGGGGAUGGACUCGCGGCUUAUCAGCUUGUUGGUGGGGUAGUGGCUUACCAAGGCUUUGACGGGUAGCCGGCCUGAGAGGGUGACCGGCCACAUUGGGACUGAGAUACGGCCCAGACUCCUACGGGAGGCAGCAGUGGGGAAUAUUGCACAAUGGGCGGAGGCCUGAUGCAGCAACGCCGCGUGCGGGAUGACGGCCUUCGGGUUGUAAACCGCUUUCGCCUGUGACGAAGCGUGAGCGACGGUAAUGGGUAAAGAAGCACCGGCUAACUACGUG
rnacentral:rRNA from 1 species